AACGAACGCUGGCGGCAGGCUUAACACAUGCAAGUUGAACGCGUGUAGCAAUACACGAGUAGCGCACGGGUGCGUAACGCGUGGGAACCUUCCUCGUAGUUCGGAAUAACUCAGGGAAACUUGAGCUAAUACCGAAUGCCUCCUCCGGGAGAAAGAUUUAUCGCUACGAGAUGGGCCCGCGUCAGAUUAGGUAGUUGGUAGGGUAACGGCCUACCAAGCCGACGAUCUGUAGCUGGUCUGAGAGGAUGAUCAGCCACACUGGGACUGAGACACGGCCCAGACUCCUACGGGAGGCAGCAGUGGGGAAUAUUGGACAAUGGGGGCAACCCUGAUCCAGCCAUGCCGCGUGAGUGAAGAAGGCCUUCGGGUUGUAAAGCUCUUUCGACGGGGACGAUGAUGACGGUACCCGUAUAAGAAGCCCCGGCUAACUUCGUGCCAGCAGCCGCCGUAA
rnacentral:rRNA from 1 species